UUUCCCGACUUCUUGAGCAAGAAAAGAAGAUCACUCAGCUGCAUCUCGAGAAUCAGCAGAACAGCCAACUGGGGCAUUAUCAAAAAAAAAAAAAGAAAAAAAAGGAAAGAGGAGGGUGCAAAAUCAAAAGAAAUCAAAAGCAAAAUCAAAAGCAAAAUCAAAAGAAAGAAAAAUCAAAAGAAAACAAAAGAAAAUAGCACCCUCAAAGUCCCAAGUUGACUGAUGCUGAAUUCGAUCAAAAGCAAGAGAUCAACUGCCAU
rnacentral:lncRNA from 1 species